UGGCUCAUUAUAUAAGUUAUCGUUUAUUUGAUAGUACCUUACUACUUGGAUAACCGUGGUAAUUCUAGAGCUAAUACAUGCUGAAAAUCCCGACUUCGGAAGGGAUGUAUUUAUUAGAUUAAAAACCAAUGCCCUCUGGGCUCCUUGGUGAUUCAUAAUAACUUUUCGAAUCGCACGGCCUUGCGCCGGCGAUGGUUCAUUCAAAUUUCUUCCCUAUCAACUUUCGAUGUUUGGGUAUUGGCCAAACAUGGUUGCAACGGGUAACGGAGGGUUAGGGCUCGACCCCGGAGAAGGAGCCUGAGAAACGGCUACUACAUCCAAGGAAGGCAGCAGGCGCGCAAAUUACCCAAUCCCGAUUCGGGGAGGUAGUGACAAUAAAUACUGAUACAGGGCUCUUUUGGGUCUUGUAAUUGGAAUGAGUACAAUUUAAAUCUCUUAACGAGGAACAAUUGGAGGGCAAGUCUGGUGCCAGCAGCCGCGGUAAUUCCAGCUCCAAUAGCGUAUAUUAAAGUUGUUGUGGUUAAAAAGCUCGUAGUUGAACCUUGGGCCUGGCUGGCCGGUCCGCCUCACCGCGUGUACUGGUCCGGCCGGGCCUUUCCCUCUGUGGAACCUCAUGCCCUUCACUGGGUGUGGCGGGGAAACAGGACUUUUACUUUGAAAAAAUUAGAGUGCUCCAGGCAGGCCUAUGCUCGAAUACAUUAGCAUGGAAUAAUAAAAUAGGACGCGUGGUUCUAUUUUGUUGGUUUCUAGGACCGCCGUAAUGAUUAAUAGGGACAGUCGGGGGCAUCAGUAUUCAAUUGUCAGAGGUGAAAUUCUUAGAUUUAUUGAAGACUAACUACUGCGAAAGCAUUUGCCAAGGAUGUUUUCAUUAAUCAGGAACGAAAGUUAGGGGAUCGAAGACGAUCAGAUACCGUCGUAGUCUUAACCAUAAACUAUGCCGACUAGGGAUCGGACGAUGUUAUUUUUUUGACGCGUUCGGCACCUUACGAGAAAUCAAAGUGCUUGG
rnacentral:rRNA from 1 species